UAAUGUAGAUGAGAAUGUCUAGGGAGAAAAACUUGAGUGAACUGAGAAGACAGACAGCCCGUGACCAAAUUCUGAGAACUCCAACCAUUCACUGGUUGAGUGGAAGAGAACAAGCUCAGAAAAUAAAUGGAGAAAACAUGGUAGGAGGAGCAGAAGAAAAAUGAGGAGAAUGCUGUCUCAUGGAAGACAAGCUAGCAAAGCUUGGAGAAGCCUGAACAAGCUGGUCACCCUCACUGUCAAAGACUUUCAUUUCCACGGAAGGGAAACUGAUGACCUGGGACCAUUGGAAGAACUAUAUGGAUGAAGCAGUUCUAAGGACUGCAAAGCUGCGCAGCGGGAACCAACUCCCUACUGCAGUUAUCAUUCGCCUUUAAAGUCUCCGUGUCAAGACACACAGAAAGUGUCUACACCAAAUGGACAAACGUUCCAGGGGGUUUCCUUCCCAACUGCUUAUUAAGAAAUCCAUCCUCUUCACAUCAGUGGGACUUCAUUCUACUCAAAUUCCAUCAAUUCCCAAUAGCUCCAACACGAGGACAAACCCUAGGAGAUGAGGGUGCCAUCUCAAGUCUCUUAUUUUGGUUAUUUAACUGAAUAAGAAAAUGUGUAUAACUGCAGCAAAUGACUCCUAUCUUUCCUGGAAAACAAACGCAGCCAUUUGCUGUGUCUCACAAUGUGUCCUUUAAGUCGCCUGCUCCUGCUGCUGUCUGUGGGAGCCAGAGCUGAGGUGCGCAGGACAGACCGCCUGGUUUGGAAACCUUGGAAGCAUGGUCUGCUUGUAUUACCUGGGGUCAUAGAUUUAGCACUCAUAAAGUCAUGUCUGUCUGUUCCUUCUGUGUCUCCAGCCAAGGAAAGAGGAGACAGGAGUAAUCAGCCUACUCAAGGAAAGAGGCAGGAGUGAUUUGAAUAAUUAUCUAUCUUUUAGACAAAAUACUGCAUUCUAUUAUGUUAUGCAAAUUCAAAUAAUGGGCUUUUUUAUGUGAACUACAUCCGUUUACAUCCUCAUUAUCCCAAGGUUUCGGUAUUCGGCCAGGUAAUGACAGCUGUGAAAACAGACUUGGAAACUUACUGCUAUCUUCAUUAAUUUACUGUAGGUAACUGACCUAGUCAAACAUCCCUGAAUAUGAUAUAAAAUUCACAGACUGUGUUUACCCGUGAAUCCGGCUGAAUUCCAGCUCUGCGUUUCUCAUCCCAUAUUAAACAUGACGACAGAUGCACCAACAGAGGUUACUGGGGAACCUCUCCCAGGCAUUGUCUUGCAGAGAUAAAGUUCUGUAAUUAAGCUGCUGUUCACCAAUGUGGAAAUAAUACAGUGUAUUGGAAAACGGUAAUUAACUAAACUAUCAUCUUUGUAACAGCCUGUUACACAUGGGACUCCUUAGAACAGACUUUGCUUGGAGUCCAACAGCUCUUAUUGUAAGUUGGGCAGGAACAAAAAUGGGGAUGAGGAACUUCCCCCUGACUGAGCUGGCUGUUGGUGGCAUUAUCCUAUUACCACUGACACCAAUCAGGUGCUA
rnacentral:lncRNA from 10 species